rnacentral:lncRNA from 1 species
AGCAAAUCCAAAGCAUCCCAUCAACCUGCCUGAGGGUUUCGAUUGGUCAGCCUGCCCCUGCAGGGAUCUAACAUCAUCCCUCAGAAAUGAUAAACAGUAACCAAUUAAUGCUUAUUCAACACGUUGAGAAUAUAAAGGGCUACAGAUGUGCUAACAGUCAUUAAUCUCAUCCUUUCCUAACUCAGGAAUGUAAGUCAAGUUAUGCUGAGGUCACAGUCUCACUAAUGGACCAGUGCCUCUUCCCCUCUGUGAAGACACAAGUGUGACCUCUAUCCCUAGGAAACUGUUCCAGACGGGAGCUCUCAGCAGGAAAUGUGGCCCUAUGUACAAUAAAGAAACAAAACAGCCUGUAAAACAGCACCUUUCUCCUUUUGCUUUUCUGAAAGUCAAAAGCUCUAUUGUUGGUUGGAAGCUACUU